GAUGAAGAACGUAGCGAAAUGCGAUAAGUAAUGUGAAUUGCAGAAUUCAGUGAAUCAUCGAAUCUUUGAACGCACAUUGCGCCCGCCAGUAUUCUGGCGGGCAUGCCUGUUCGAGCGUCAUUACGACCCUCAGGCCCCCGGGCCUGGCGUUGGGGAUCGGCGGAGCCCCCCGUGGGCACACGCCGUCCCCCAAAUGCAGUGGCGGUCCCGCCGCAGCUUCCAUCGCGUAGUAGCUAACACCUCGCGACUGGAGAGCGGCGCGGCCACGCCGUAAAACACCCAACUCUUCUGAAGUUGACCUCGAAUCAGGUAGGAAUACCCGCUGAACUUAAGCAUAUCAAUAAGCGGAGGA
rnacentral:misc_RNA from 1 species